UCUAUUCUGCGCUUGUACUUCUGCCGACCUCCACGUACUCUGUCAAGACGCACUCCUGUGGGGAAAGACAGGCACUUCCUUACUGUUGAGAAUCUCCAAUGAAAGCUACCUCUUUGUGACAAAUCUAUUACAAAUGGGUGUUUGUAAUGUGUAGAACAUCAGAUGUUCAAACAAGCUGUGCUUUUUCAUCUAUUACAUGUACUUGAUAGCACCAUCUACUCUGCUACCUAGAAGUUUCAGGGAACCUUUGAUGGCGUCUACCUGGGAGACUGCGCUUCGUCCUUGACACAGCUUCUGCUGCAGAGUCCUGACCUCCAGGUUCCAAAAUGAUCCUAAAGAUGCUGCCGUCUCCCAAACCAGAAUUCCAGUUGUUGGCAGGAUUCACCAUUGAGUUUAGAAAACUACAGGCUUACAGAUCCCCAUCAACCAACUUUAUCCUUGCCUAAUUUACCCAUCUCUGUAUGAUUGUACUUGAGUCAAGUCCAUUUAAGUGAAUAUAGUCAAUUCUAUCUAAAGGAAUACAGCCUGUUAGCGCCAACAUGGUAGCUGAAUAUGUAUCUGGUUUUAAUGCCUGUCAUCACUCUAUUGUUACCCAGAUGAGGAAAGGGAGAAUAUGAGCCUCAAGACCUACAGACCUUGUCUAUUAAAGCCAGGGUCUCAAGCCAGUCUGAACACAUAAGAAGAGCCAUGGAUUUACUUUCUACAGCCAGGAAAAGGCAUUUCACCCCCGAAAAGGGA